GUUACUUGAAGAGCUGAUUCCACGCUUGGAAUUUAUCCUCAUAUAGAGUGUGAGAAAUGGAUCCAACUUCAUCUUUCACAGGUGAUGAAGCCGCCCAGUGCCGCCCGUAAAACAUCUCUUCUGCUAUCGGAGUGGCCGUCACCAGAGAAAGAAGAUGGCACAGACCCUCGUUCUCUUAUCAGAGAAGCAGCAGAGGAUGCGCAUUUGCAUAACAGAUCCUUGUCCGAGGGCAGGACCUGCUGAGACGCCGGGGUGUCACCGGCCCUCGGCGAACACUUUGCUUCUCCAGUGUUUCAAGUGAUGGCUCCACAGUGUGGCCCAGGAAGAUGUGACAACACGUUGGUCCUGUCACGUUCAUGUUCUUCUGUUCGUUCCCAGAUGGUGUUCCCACAUGCAGACUGAAGCCGUG